rnacentral:rRNA from 1 species
CACGUAGGGCGCAAGCGUUGUCCGGAAUUAUUGGGCGUAAAGAGCUCGUAGGCGGCCAACUAAGUCAUACGUGAAAUCCCUCGGCUUAACCGGGGAACUGCGUCUGAUACUGGAUGGCUUGAGAUUGGGAGAGGGAUGCGGAAUUCCAGGUGUAGCGGUGAAAUGCGUAGAUAUCUGGAGGAACACCGGUGGCGAAGGCGGCAUCCUGGACCAACACUGACGCUGAGGAGCGAAAGCCAGGGGAGCAAACGGG